rnacentral:rRNA from 1 species
UAGGGAAUAUUGGACAAUGGGGGCAACCCUGAUCCAGCAAUGCCGCGUGAGUGAUGAAGGCCUUAGGGUUGUAAAGCUCUUUUACCCGGGAUGAUAAUGACAGUACCGGGAGAAUAAGCCCCGGCUAACUCCGUUCCAGCAGCCGCGGUAAUACGGAGGGGGCUAGCGUUGUUCGGAAUUACUGGGCGUAAAGCGCACGUAGGCGGCUCAGCAAGUCAGGGGUGAAAUCCCGGGGCUCAACCCCGGAACUGCCUUUGAAACUGCUAAGCUAGAAUCCUGGAGAGGCGAGUGGAAUUCCGAGUGUAGAGGUGAAAUUCGUAGAUAUUCGGAAGAACACCAGUGGCGAAGGCGACUCGCUGGACAGGUAUUGACGCUGAGGUGCGAAAGCGUGGGGAGCAAA